rnacentral:rRNA from 1 species
GCAUACCUAAAUACCUUAAAGGCACCCGAUCACAUCUGAUCUUAGAAACUAAGCAGAGUCAGCUGCAGUUAGUACUGGGAUGGGAGACCACCAAUGAAUAUCAGGUGCUGUAGGCU